UCCGAGUUGUAAUUUGUAGAGGAUGCUUUUGGUGAGGUGCCUUCCGAGUUCCCUGGAACGGGACGCCAUAGAGGGUGAGAGCCCCGUCUGGUUGGACACCGAGCCUCUGUAAAGCUCCUUCGACGAGUCGAGUAGUUUGGGAAUGCUGCUCUAAAUGGGAGGUAUAUGUCUUCUAAAGCUAAAUACCGGCCAGAGACCGAUAGCGCACAAGUAGAGUGAUCGAAAGAUGAAAAGCACUUUGAAAAGAGAGUUAAAAAGUACGUGAAAUUGUUGAAAGGGAAGCGCUUAUGACCAGACUUGGGCUUGGUUGAUCAUCCUGGGUUCUCCCUGGUGCACUCUUCCAGUUCAGGCCAGCAUCAGUUCGCUGCGGGGGAUAAAAGUUUUGGGAAUGUGGCUCCCUCGGGAGUGUUAUAGCCCAUUGCAUAAUACCCUGCUCCGGACUGAGGUUCGCGCAUCUGCAAGGAUGCUGGCGUAAUGGUCAUCAGCGACCCGUCUUGAAACACGGACCAAGGAGUCGUCUUCGUAUGCGAGUGUUCGGGUGUUAAACCCCUACGCGUAAUGAAAGUGAACGCAGGUGAGAGCUUCGGCGCAUCAUCGACCGAUCCUGAUGUUCUCGGAUGGAUUUGAGUAAGAGCAUACGGGGCCGGACCCGAAAGAAGGUGAACUAUGCCUGUAUAGGGUGAAGCCAGAGGAAACUCUGGUGGAGGCUCGCAGCGGUUCUGACGUGCAAAUCGAUCGUCAAAUAUGGGCA
rnacentral:rRNA from 1 species